rnacentral:lncRNA from 1 species
AAUCAACAUAGCAGCCGGCAAUCACCGCUUCCUUUCUCAAAUCAAUGGAUUCCAGGCGAUGAAGCUUACGCCACCAGGACAGGGUAGACACUGAAUGCAGAGCAAUGUUUGCAACAUCAGGAUUUGAUCGAGCAAAAGAGUGCCAAAUCUUCUUAGAGAAGGAGCAGAGUAGCAGUAAAUGGCCUGUAGAUUCAGGCUCUUGGUCGCAAAGGGCAAUCCAGCAUAGCCACUUCGGCAAAUCAUACAACUAAAACAAGUAAAAGGCCU